GACGAACGCUGGCGGCGUGCCUAAUACAUGCAAGUUGAGCGCUGAAGGUUGGUACUUGUACCAACUGGAUGAGCAGCGAACGGGUGAGUAACGCGUGGGGAAUCUGCCUUUGAGCGGGGGACAACAUUUGGAAACGAAUGCUAAUACCGCAUAAAAACUUUAAACACAAGUUUUAAGUUUGAAAGAUGCAAUUGCUUCACUCAAAGAUGAUCCCGCGUUGUAUUAGCUAGUUGGUGAGGUAAAGGCUCACCAAGGCGAUGAUACAUAGCCGACCUGAGAGGGUGAUCGGCCACAUUGGGACUGAGACACGGCCCAAACUCCUACGGGAGGCAGCAGUAGGGAAUCUUCGGCAAUGGACGAAAGUCUGACCGAGCAACGCCGCGUGAGUGAAGAAGGUUUUCGGAUCGUAAAACUCUGUUGGUAGAGAAGAACGUUGGUGAGAGUGGAAAGCUCAUCAAGUGACGGUAACUACCCAGAAAGGGACGGCUAACUACGUG
rnacentral:rRNA from 1 species